UUAUACAUAUACAGUGUGGGGAAUCACGUGACCCAAAAUGGUACGGAACACGGAAAUCAACAUGGCGGAUAUUUGACUUUUUUACCAAUUUUCGAAGAAAUGUCAAAACCUAAGAAGAAACGGAGUCUGACACUUGGGAAAAAGAAAUGGAUAAAGAAGCAAAACAAGAAUAUCAAUAUUAAACUAACUUUCCAAUUGCCACAAUGUGGCAGGAAAUCACCAGCGAGAAAACAAACAAAAAGACUGCUUACGCCAUCUGAAUCCCCUCUACAAGUUAUAUCCCGCAAACUGAAGAAUAAAGUCAUUUAGGUCACCUGCCGCUUCCAAAAAACAAACAUACAAUAACUAUCGAUUAAAAUUAAAGUACUCAAGAUCACUUUUUGGACCUGUAGAGGAAAACAGUGAUAUGUAAAGACGAUGUAGAGCACUUCUUAAACACUGGAUUGCAAGUGUGAAGAGCUGCAUAAUACAGACAAUGUAGUCCGCGUUGAUGUGACUGAUGAAGCAGUUAAUGAAAAUUUAUUGUCAGAAGUUUUCUCGGUAUUAUAAGAGAAAGAUGGACUUGAUGAAGUAAUGAUAAAAUUUCUAAAAUUAGUUAAAGAUAAAAAACCCACUGAAGAGUUAGCAUUUUUGUGGACGGAGGUUGUUUGUUGGUUUGGGUGCACUGAUACAACACAAAUGAGAUACUCUUACAAAACUAAGAUGUAUUGGAAACUUGGCUGGAGAAUGUUUGGAGGACGGUUUAUUCGUUUUAUGAGCGGAUACAAAAAUAGGGAAGAGAACGUAUUGGGAAUGUCAGAUCCAGGGCUUGCAUCACCAUAAACAUCUUUGAUAAACUUUGCCGUACCAGAUGUGCUAGUGUUCAUAACAUUUAGUUACAAAUAAGUUUUACAAAGUUGACUUUUUUAAUGAAAAUUAAGUGACGUAUCGUGCUAAAAUCAUCUAAAAUUUGAACUAAUUAUUGAACUCUAAAUAAAUGUUACUAUACUGACGCAUUUUUAGCCGAUAGUUUCAAUAGUUUCUUCAUGGAAACAUUUAACAGAAAACGUUUUAUUUUAUAGUAUCUUUGAAAAAAAUACUACACUAUAUUUUGUAUAUGGGGUCUGGUAAACCUAUCCCCCUUGGCCAGGCCAACAUUAUCUGCUACCCCCUGUACAGUAACGUUAUGGUACAUUCCGAGACAUAAAACAGUCAUACAAACUAAAUAGUCUUCAUCGGAUCACGUUUUAAAAAGUUCACCCACCACAUCAUGUUUUCGAACUGGGUGAGCUUUUAUAUUAUGUACGAUUGUUUUAUGUCUCGGGAUGUACAAUACUGUAUAUGGGCGUAGCUAAUAUGGGGGUCUGGCCAAGGGGGCAUGUUUUUCAGACCUCAUGUGUCUGUGUGAUAUUUUUGGAGCGGAUAAAUCGUCUUGGUAUAUCUGCAAUUGUUUCAUAAUACUCUACUCGCGAUUUUAUGGAUUUUGUGUUACUAUGUUUAUAAUUGGCAUUUUUAUGUUUUUAUGUGACGGUAUCACCAUUUUGACGUUGUUUCGUAUAUUUGUAUACGUUUGUAUGUGUUUGUAUAUCCGUAUAUAUAUAUAUAUACUUGCAAUUUGCUCAAGUAUUACCUAUGUGUGAGUAAAGAAUGAUUUAACCAGGAGUUCAAGUUAAAUAAGCAUUUUAUAUUUACGUGCAAAAGAUGAAUAAUAAAUAAAUAAAUAAUAAUUCAAACUGA